AUGUGUGUGCAUCAUUUAUGAUCCAUUGAAAUCCAAUCAGGGAGUCUUAGCACUGAAGGCAUUGAAGCUUUCUGAUUCAUUCAUGGAGCUCUACCGCAGUAACAAUUUUACAGGGGAGAAGUUGAGGGAGAAAAACCUUUCAUGGGUGGAUAUCUUUGAGGAAAUACCUAUCAAAGUUUCAAACUCUGCACUUAUUAGUGCAUUUAUGACGGAGUUGGAAGCUGAUACACCUGUUAUCCAGUGUGAUUAUGAUCGUCUGCAAUUAUCAACUUGCCAUUUCUAGAGAGGAAAAUGGAAUUUCUUAUUG